CCCGAAGUACGUUAGUCUAACCUGUUUGGAGGACGGGCUCCCACAUUGUAUAAUUAAUGACUGGGGUGAAGUCGUAACAAGGUAACCAA
rnacentral:rRNA from 1 species